rnacentral:rRNA from 1 species
AAAGGGAUUUGCUAUUGCACCACAUGUGUUUUUUAUUGAACAAAUUUCUUUGGUGGCGGGAGCAAUCCUACCGCCAGAGGUUAUAACUAAACCAAACUUUUUAUUUACAGUCAAACUUGAUUUAUUAUUACAAUAGUCAAAACUUUCAACAACGGAUCUCUUGGUUCUCGCAUCGAUGAAGAACGCAGCGAAAUGCGAUACGUAAUAUGAAUUGCAGAUAUUCGUGAAUCAUCGAAUCUUUGAACGCACAUUGCGCCCUUUGGUAUUCCAAAGGGCAUGCCUGUUUGAGCGUCAUUUCUCCCUCAAACCCCCGGGUUUGGUGUUGAGCAAUACGCUAGGUUUGUUUGAAAGAAUUUAACGGGAAAACUUAUUUUAAGCGACUUAGGUUUAUCCAAAACCCCUAAUUUGGUAAGGGCCCCCCCCAUUUAAUUCCUAACUUUUAACCCCAAUCCAGGAAGAAUACCCCCUGAACUUAAACCUAACCAAG